rnacentral:tmRNA from 1 species
UGCCUUGAAAGUCUGCUGCGGUUUCCUUAUCUAAGAGUUGCUCCGUUCGCGGAGUCUACGGUGCUAAACCUUUUGUGCAAUAGACAUGCAGGACGCGGCUUCGAUGCCGCCGCCUCCACCAACCAACUUGAUGAUCGUUUCAUCGGCUUUUGGGGGCGACAUGGGAUCGACUGGUGUUGAAAGACAAAAGCUGUGCUCGGCAUGAUACCGCCGUUAUCGGGUCACAAUAGUAGUUGCAAACGACAACUAUGCGGAAGCUCGUCUCGCUGCUUAAUCGCAGUGUGACACUUCAAAUCAAGCCCUAAGGGGUCGCACCUUUAGGCGGGGUUCGGAGGUACCUGGCAACAGAAACCUCCACC